GUUUACCAGACAGUCUGAGGGCUGAGAGUUCUGAGAGCCCUGCCCCCCCCCCCCCUUUCAAUUGACCCUUGAGAUAUUGCUAGCUUAAAGACUUUCCUUAGGCUUGGGUGUAAGCUUUUGAUCUCAGUCUGAACUGGAUCAGGUCAGGUGCUGAUCAGAUUCUAGCCCCAGGCUUAGGCUCAUGUUUUUGGUGUCAAGGUGUUCUUGAUUCAAUCAAGCACACCCUUGAUUGCCCUGUCCUGGAGAUUCACCCUUAUUUUGGGGCAAAAAGAUCCCCAGAAGGCUUCCCCUGAUAACUUGCAUCCUCACCCCAAACUGUGGAUUAUGUCCUUACCCCAAACCCAGACUGGAAUUCCUGGCUUCACACUGGACCCAUGUGGAUUGGUCCCCUUCAUCCCAGAUUGCCUUGGGCUGGGACUCCUGACUUCUCUACAGGUUUACUGCUCUAUCAAAAUGCCACCAGCUGUGUCAGACAUCUGA
rnacentral:lncRNA from 1 species